GAGAGAGAUCAUGUGGUAUCUGCCUUUCUGUGCCUGGUUUAUUUCACUUAGCCUUAUGUCCUCCAGGCUCAUCCAUGUUGCUGUGAAUGACAGGAUUUCAUUCUUUUCCCACGAGUUUUUAAUCUUGUUAAGGACAUUUUAACUGUCAUUAACUACAGUGUAUAUUGUCUCUGCUUCUAGACUGUCAUCUCCUCAAGGACUAUGUGUUUUAGCUAAAUUCCUUGCAUGCAGUGGGCCUUAGAAGCUGGGCAAUUUCAGAAAUGAAAAUCACACUGUGAAAGUUAUUCACAGUUUAGUAUUAAGUGAAAGAAGUUAAGUGGGAAGCUAAUUUGCUCAUUUUAAAAAAUGGGGCUACUUGGGAAAAUAUUUUAAAUGGCAUUUUAAGUGUUGGGAUUUCAGGUGAAAUUUCUUAUCUUAUUUUUGUUUUUUGGUUUUCUUCAUUUUCUGCCAUGAAUAUUAUUUGUUUUGUAAUGAAAAGGUAUAUAUAAAAAAUUGAUUGUGAGUUCAAACAAUGCUAUCUGUCAGCAUUAAGCAUGAAAGUACACUAAAGAAACAUUUUGGUCUUGGUUUGGCUGCUAUUUUACAAAAGCAUUCACUAAUUUUUUUUUUUUUUUGAAUGAGAAAACAUUUAUUCCAUCUCCAAACAGCAUCCCAGGGCCGGGCAUCUCCCCUACGACUUUAUAAUACACUCGGCACAGACAGAGUUUGGGAGCCAUGGGACACCUCUGCCCUCCCCAGGCUUCCUAAGUAACAACUGCAGAAUAUUUACAUAAAGCUGGGUGUUGUCAGGCAAAGCCAUUCCCUGCUGCCAGGGGUGGGAGCAAGAAGGAAGUGCCAUGAGCACCAGCCCCGCCUUCACACCGUGGGAGGCAGCCCAGAGGCCACCGGCACAGGGUGGUGGCCCCCAGAUCAUACAGCAGUGGACACAGGGGAAGCAAACCUGAGUGAGGACACAAGAGCCUGGUCCGGCUCCGCUGCACAGGAGAAACAUAAUUGAGGUGGAAGGAUCCAGAAGAAAGGAACCAGUGAUGAUGAGGACAGAGGGCUCUCCACGGGAAGGUGGGAGAGAAUUUAGUUCUCUGUGCCGUGAAGAUGGGAUUGGAGCCAUACAUUGGAGAUGAAGAGAGUCCUUCCAUCCAUCUGCUGGACCUGCUGGGCCUCAGGGCUUUCUCUGAAGUGGUAGGGGGAAGAUGUCACAGAGGAAAUGUAAAGAAAAGUCUACCUCGGCAGUCUACAGCGUGGUGGAUAAAAAAAGAGCAGGAAGAGUCUGGCGAGGCGAUCAGCCUGAUGUAGUACCUGAGGAAGGCAAGAAAGGAUAUAAAGAAAAUAAGAAACAACACUUUCUCUGCACAUCCAAAUUGUGGCAAGGAUUUUUGCAGAUUGCCACCAGUUCACUGAGAGGAGUCAUUGAAAACAUGGCAUUGAGGACAGAGACUGCCACUUCAGAAUUUUCUACAUCCAACUGCUGAAGCCACUCGAAGAUAUUUCCCUCAGAGAACCAUAACCAGCUUUGGAGAAGAUGCUUCCACAUAGCUUGUUUCACAGCAUCUCAUCUCUCAUUAAAACCUUGUUGAGGGAGCAUUACUGUCUGAGCAAUGGACAUAGCUCUCAUACGAACCUUUUCAGCUAACACCGGAUAAGCCAGCUUUCUGACAGCCUCUUUCACAUCCUUGGUGCACCCUACAAUUUUUGGCAAAGUCUUUGCUGAUGGUGCAAUACAUGAUAA
rnacentral:lncRNA from 1 species